UUUGACUUCAUAAGAGAAAUUCUGGAAUGU
rnacentral:piRNA from 1 species